AGGUGUUCAAGUUUUGGAAUAUUGCAUUCCUCAUUAAAUUGUAAUCUAGUCAUGGAAAAGACACUGCCAAAAUCCAACAUGGAAAAAAUGUGCCUGCAAUAAAACCAUUAGGACUGCCCAGAGUGAUCAAAAUAAAAAAGAAAGGAAAAGACCAUACUUUUUGCAGACUUUGAUUGAAAAUUUAAAAUGACUUAAUAUUCCCUCUGAUUAAGAAAAAAAAUAAUUUAACAAUAUUUUGUAUAACAAUAGCCUUAUAAACUUUGUAAUUUACCAACAGACAAUGAACAGUUCAGCUUAUUUGUAAAGUUUAACAUCCUUAUUUAUGUAAUAAUAUGUUAACUUUGUGUAUCACAUUCUUUAAGACAGGGGGUAUAUUUAUCUUAAUAUUAACAUAUUAAAUAAUUUUGAAUAAAAUUGUCUCUUAAAAAUUUUAAA